rnacentral:rRNA from 1 species
ACUCCUACGGGAGGCAGCAGUGGGGAAUAUUGCACAAUGGGCGCAAGCCUGAUGCAGCCAUCGCCGCGUGUGUAGAAGGCAAUGGGCCUUCGGGUUGAUAAAGCACUUUCAGUCGUGAGGAAGGUAGUGUAGUUAAUAGCUGCAUUAUUUGACGUUAGCGACAGAAGAAGCACCGGCUAACUCCGUGCCAGCAGCCGCGGUAAUACGGAGGGUGCGAGCGUUAAUCGGAAUUACUGGGCGUAAAGCGCAUGCAGGUGGUUUGUUAAGUCAGAUGUGAAAGCCCGGGGCUUAACCUCGGAAUUGCAUUUGAAACUGGCAGGCUAGAGUCUUGUAGAGGGGGGUAGAA